rnacentral:lncRNA from 1 species
UUUUUUUUUCUUUUUUAGCUUUUUAGAUUUUUAGGGCCGAACGCACAGCAUAUGGAGGUUCCCAGGCUAGGGGUCCAAUUGGAGCUGUAGCCGCCAGCCUACACCAGAGCCACAGUAACAAUCAGAUCCAAGCUGCAUCUGCAACCUACACCACAGCUCAUGGCAACGCCAGAUCCUUAACCCACUGGUGGAGGCCAGGGAUCCAACCCACAACCUCAUGGGUCCUAGUCGAGUUUGUUUCCGUUGUGUCAUGACGGGAACUCCAGGGAUGGACUGACAUUUUUAUUGGAUCAAAUAUAUGUGUAAAUGUUCCAUGGAGAUUGGGUGAAAUAGAGACAUUGUUUUUUUUCAUUUUUAGAAAUUUGAUUGAAGCAGAGUUGAGUUACAAUGUUGUGUUGGUUUCAGGUGUGUAUAGCAAAGUGAUUCUGUUACAUGCAUACACACAUCCAUUCUUUUUUGGAUUCUUUCCCAUAGAGGUUAUCACAGUAUGUUGGGUAGGAGCUCCCCAUCAUGGCUCAGCUGUGACAAAUCCAGCUGAUAUCCCUGAAGCCAUUGGCUCCAUCCCUGGCCUUGCUCAGUGGGUUAAGGAUCCAGUGUGGCUGUGGCUCUGCCACAGGUUGGUCGCUGCAGCUCCGAUUCUACACCAGCCUGGGAACUUCCAUAUGCCACAGGUGUGUCCAUUUAAAAAAAAAAAAAAAAGGAAUAUUGGGAAGAGUUCCCUGUGCUCUGUAGAAGGUCCCCCUUGACGAAUCCUGGCACAUCCAUUAGUGUGCACGUGCCAAUCCGACACUCUGAAUGAUCCUUCCUUCUCACCUUUCACUUAUGCAAAGAAGUCUGGAUAUUAGGAAAGUUUAGAUUUUCUAGUGUAAAUGGCAGUUUUAAGUAGUCCCAACUACGCACUUCCCUCACUUCACAACUCUUAGUAAGGUAACUCGAGGACUAUAUUAAAAGGGGGGACCCAGUAUCAGUGCGCGGCUUUAAUGGAACUUGUUAUCCAUAGGGCACACCCUUUGAAAUUCUUCAAAAACUGCUGCAAGCGAGUUCGCAUCAGGGGAAGAGCAACCACAAAUAAUGCACCCUUGUGUGAAAGAAAAGCUCUCCUGGGAAAACACCCCUGAGUCAACCUAACAAUUUUCCCCGGGUGAGAGGGCGGAUAAGAGGGAAGAUCAGAGAGUGGAUAAUUGGCGAUUUCCGCCCAAGCCCCCCUCUUUAGGUCUUUGGAUAAGGUGUCUGCUGAUGGAGCCCAUGGGCACCCCUGGCUCCGUGAAGUGGGGAUGCUGCACAUUGGCUCAAAAGGAAAACAUCUAUAUUUUUGCUACCUCCAGCUUUAGCUAUUUUCUCGGACGACUGCAUCUUCAAACAGAUUAGUUGAAACUGCAGUAAUCUCUCUCUCCCCUUAUUCUUUCAUCUGGGACUGCAAUAUUUGAUCAGAGACCAUGCGAUCCCAGAAAGUAUACUUGUGGGUUUUGUCUUUUUGUGGUAUGAGACAACAAAACAAAAGCCUUAGUUUGUAAGAUGAACAGUGUGAAAAGAAAGUGCUGAAUGUGCAAAUAUAUUGAACAAUGCAAAAUUUGAGGCAAUUUUAAGAAAUGCAAAAGAUUUGCUCUUUUUUAUGAGAGUAAAAAGGAGACAGUGACAGGCUCAGAUGUGGAUGCUGCGGGGAGGGGCUAUUUUUUCCUAUUUCAGCUGAGAUUAAACAGUCAAAUUUAGAGUUCCCGUUGUGCCUCAGCAGGCUAAGGACCUGACCUUGUCUCUGUGAUCCUGUGGGUUCAAUCCGUGGCCUGACUCCACAGGUUAAGGAUCUGAUGUGGCUGUGGCUGUGGUGUAAUCUGGCAGCUGCAGCUCAGAUUUGCCCCCUGCCUUGGGAACUUCCAUGUGCUGCAGGUGUAGCUGUAAAAACAAACAAACAAAAGCAGAAACAAAUUUAAAUUCUGAUAAUGUAUAAGUGGAUUGGAAAGUAGAAAUGACCAAAACUAAUCCCCGACCUUUUCCUUAGCUUGAUACUGGCUAGCGUCUGGUAUGGUCUUGAAUGAAGCUAAGUUCUCUUACUGUGUUUUCCACAGAUAACUGCUGCAGGGAUGGCAUGUUUUCUAAGCUUUUGGUAUGCUGGGCUGGCACUGUGACCCUCGAGGGACCCUGUUUGGCUACUGAGCCCUGAAGGAACCGCAUCCAUGCCGGUGUGGGCAGCCUGGGAUACAGCGCUAAAACCUCCCAGUUCUCCCUGCAUCUAGAGCCCCAUGAAGAGCUGGUAGCAAGAGGAUAUCGGGGAGCCUAGUUUGGGGCUUUAUUUCCAUCCUAUUUCUUCUGCUCUUGUACCAUCAUUGCCUCUUCCAUGGGUGGGCAGCAGGAAAUGCGUUGUUCAGUUCACAGGUCUUUGGUUUGGGAGGAACCAAACGCCAGGAUACAAGGCAGAAAGAAGCCUCCUCCCUGGUCCCGGUGUAGAGAAUGCAAUCUAGGACCUCAAGCCUGACAGUCAUGCUGGGGCUCUUGGGAGCAGAUAAACAUGUUUUGCAAACAUGUUUUGCAAGUGGGAGGAAUGCAGUUUGUGGUAAAGGGAAGAUUAUGGCAGUUUAUUUAUUUAUCAUGUGUGCGUGCCAAUGUGUGUGUGUGUGUGUGUGUGUGUUUCCUUUUUUGUCCACCCCCUCGGCAUAUGGAAGUUCCUGGGGCCAGGGAUGGAAUCUGAGCCACAGCUGUGACCUAGACCACAGCUAUGGCAACAGCCCAAUCCUUAACCCACUGUCCCAGCUGGGAAUUGACCAGAACUUCCACAGAGACAAGCAGGGUCAUUAACCCACGGCCCCACGGUGGGAACGCCAGACUGCGGUAGUUUAAAGUAAUAGUAAUAAACUGCCGUAGGCUGCCUGUGUGUGAAGAAGCAGGACGGCUUUAACGGUGUGGUUUUAAGAAAACCCUGGAAGUAAAUGUUACAACAGACUGAAGGUGGUUUUUCAAGGAUGGUGUGGGAAGCCUAAGUCCUUAGAUGGGUGGGUUAUUUUAUUUUAUUAUGUCUUUCAGAUUCUACAGGAGGUAUCAGUAUUGCUUGGGGAAAAGUCAUUCUGAUUUUAAAUGUGAAUUUAUACCGACAUGUUUACUCUUUAUCCUUAAAAAAUAAAGAUAACUGGACAUUACCCGGUAUCCCUCUCAUUAAAACAUGACCCCUGUGUCCCUUCCGCUUGAUCUAGGUUGGGCUGGCAUUACCAGUAACCUACGGGGGAAGUGAUACUGUGUCACCUCCAGGGCAGGUUUUGAGAGGACUGGAAGUUUCUGCUUUCUUCCUCCUGGGACCAUGAGCAUCCAUGUAAGAAACUGACUAUCCUGGGAGUUCCCCUUGUGACUCAGUGGGUUAAGAACCUGACUAGUAUCCACGAGGAUGCAGGUUUGAUCCUCGGCCUUGCUCAGUGGGUUAAGGAUCCAGCGUUGCUGUGAGCUGUGGUGUAGGCUGGAAGCUAUAGCUCUGAUUCAACACCUAGACUGGGAACGUCCAUAUGCCACAGGUGAUGCUGCGUGGGCUGAGCAUGUGUGUCCUCCAAGAGUCAUGUGUUUAUGCUGUAACCUCCCGUAUGGCAGUGUUGGGAGGCGGGCUUGUGGGGGUACCUGGGUCUCGAGGACGGAGCUCUCCGGAAUGGGAUUAGUGCCCUAUAAGCAGGGGCGGGAACAGACAAUCUCUCUUUCCGGCACUGAGGGUGCUCUAAGAAGGCACCUGUCUGCCAACCAGGAAGGGGGCUCCUGCCAGACACCUAAUCUGCGGACACCUUCCCAGCCUCCAGCUCGAUGAGAAAUGCAUUUUUUUUAAUGACCACACCCAUGGCACAUGGAAGUGCCCAGGCAAGGGGUUGAAUGGGAGCUACAGCUGCUGGUCUAUGCCACAGCAGUGUGGGAUCCGAGCUCACAGCAACGCUGGGAUCAAACCUGCAACCUAAUGGUUACUAGUUGGAUGUGUUUCUGCUGCGCCGCAAUGGGGACUCCAGAGAAAUACAUCUUUGUUUAUGCUGCCCAGCCUCUGGUAUUUUGUUGCAGCAGCCUGACCUGAGACAAAGGCUCUGCACGAUUUCUCACCUUUCCUCUUACUCCAUCGUAACCACAGCCCUGUUUGAGCACAAACAGGAUGGCUAAACCUGUGUUUAUUAAAUAAGCUGGAGCAACACUGGUGGUGUUCCCAUUCUGAUGUUUCAGAAGCAAGGUUUUCCCGGAAAUCCCACAUCCCGUAGGUUUUCUUAACCUCACCCUCUAACUAGAAGUGUCUGGGGUGGGCGGAGGGCUGUGUUUGCACAGUUCAGCCCCUUGUACCUCUCUUCAUUUCGUAUACACAGAUGCCUGCAGGAGGCGUACGAUUUGGCUUGCUUCUCUGGGGAAGUGGGGGGGACAGAGUUUGUUUCUCUAGUUAAGAAUUCUCUUCCUGAGUUCUGAGUUGAAGCCUGUUGUGGAAACGCGAAUGAAGCACAUCCUCAUUGGUCAGAGAACUGCUGUUUUGAUCUCUGCUUUGUCUAUGUGUGUGUCUCAUUUGCUUCCUAGCUCUUGUGGAGCGAGAGUAUUAUUUGUGGGUGCCUUGAAACUUGGAUCUAGGUGCCCACCUGGUAACUCUUUAAGUGUAAAAAACACGGGCAUUCCCUGAGAAACUUUGGGUUGAGAAAAAGAUGUGGACAUCUCAGUUCGUUCAGUUAUGUUCCCUCAGCAGUGCUGGUGGCAUUUUAGCUUGUUAGGAGAAGUAGCUUAUCAAGAAAAUGGUUUUGUUUUUGUUUUGUGCAAGUUAGUUCAGAGUAGAACUAUUUUUGCUACACCCUUAGGUGCUAAACUCCAGAGGGGAUUGAUUAAUUGGAAACUGGUUUGAGAGAAAGUGAUACGGAUAAUGACAAGAUCAAAACUUUGGCCCUUGAAAACAUCUUUGGAGAAGUUGGAGACGCUUAGCUUUGAGAGGGGCAGACCCAUGGGGAUUUGU